rnacentral:misc_RNA from 1 species
GUUUGGGAUUAAGGCUUUGUUGUUUUUAUAACCAACUAAUUUCUUUGGGUUACGUUCUCAGGUUCACCUCAUUCUGAUGAUGCUCAAUAUAGCAGCCAUGUUCAUGAAAAACAGUAAAUUCCCUCUAAAGAACUAGAUAAACAAAUACAAAUAUGAAGUAAGAUAAAUAAAAAAUAUAUACAUUAAACUUUGGCUUCAAGCUAGCUUCUCUAGCAGCAUUUCUAUUCCAGAAAAAGUAAAAUAUAGACCAAUUCAUCAUUAUUAAUGAGACGACAUCAUUCAAGUUUCCGGUGAUGAUUGCUCCUUCAAUAUGUGCACAACUCCUAUGAAU